UUCUUCAUGCAUAAUUAGACCACGCAUCGCAUUGGCGCUUAGAUAGAUAGGUCUGAUUAGACGCAGCGCAUGCCAAACAGUGCAAUGUAGAGCGGUAGCACAGAGAGCUAGCUCUCGGCUGACGAGCGACGACGGUGAGUAUGUCUGGAAACUGCUGAUGGAGGGGGAUACUACUGGACACGGUAGCUAAUACCGCAUAACGUCGCAAGACCAAAGAGGGGGACUUCGGGCCUCUUGCCAUCAGAUGUGCCCAGAUGGGAUUAGCUAGUAGGUGGGGUAACGGCUCACCUAGGCGACGAUCCCUAGCUGGUCUGAGAGGAUGACCAGCCACACUGGAACUGAGACACGGUCCAGACUCCUACGGGAGGCAGCAGUGGGGAAUAUUGCACAAUGGGCGCAAGCCUGAUGCAGCCAUGCCGCGUGUAUGAAGAAGGCCUUCGGGUUGUAAAGUACUUUCAGCGGGGAGGAAGGCGAUAAGGUUAAUAACCUUGUCGAUUGACGUUACCCGCAGAAGAAGCACCGGCUAACUCCGUGCCAGCAGCCGCGGUAAUACGGAGGGUGCAAGCGUUAAUCGGAAUUACUGGGCGUAAAGCGCACGCAGGCGGUCUGUCAAGUCGGAUGUGAAAUCCCCGGGCUCAACCUGGGAACUGCAUUCGAAACUGGCAGGCUAGAGUCUUGUAGAGGGGGGUAGAAUUCCAGGUGUAGCGGUGAAAUGCGUAGAGAUCUGGAGGAAUACCGGUGGCGAAGGCGGCCCCCUGGACAAAGACUGACGCUCAGGUGCGAAAGCGUGGGGAGCAAACAGGAUUAGAUACCCUGGUAGUCCACGCCGUAAACGAUGUCGACUUGGAGGUUGUGCCCUUGAGGCGUGGCUUCCGGAGCUAACGCGUUAAGUCGACCGCCUGGGGAGUACGGCCGCAAGGUUAAAACUCAAAUGAAUUGACGGGGGCCCGCACAAGCGGUGGAGCAUGUGGUUUAAUUCGAUGCAACGCGAAGAACCUUACCUACUCUUGACAUCCAGAGAACUUUCCAGAGAUGGAUUGGUGCCUUCGGGAACUCUGAGACAGGUGCUGCAUGGCUGUCGUCAGCUCGUGUUGUGAAAUGUUGGGUUAAGUCCCGCAACGAGCGCAACCCUUAUCCUUUGUUGCCAGCGGUUAGGCCGGGAACUCAAAGGAGACUGCCAGUGAUAAACUGGAGGAAGGUGGGGAUGACGUCAAGUCAUCAUGGCCCUUACGAGUAGGGCUACACACGUGCUACAAUGGCGCAUACAAAGAGAAGCGACCUCGCGAGAGCAAGCGGACCUCAUAAAGUGCGUCGUAGUCCGGAUUGGAGUCUGCAACUCGACUCCAUGAAGUCGGAAUCGCUAGUAAUCGUAGAUCAGAAUGCUACGGUGAAUACGUUCCCGGGCCUUGUACACACCGCCCGUCACACCAUGGGAGUGGGUUGCAAAAGAAGUAGGUAGCUUAACCUUCGGGAGGGCGCUUACCACUUUGUGAUUCAUGACUGGGGUGAAGUCGUAACGAGUAACCGUAACGGGUAACACCGCGCGCUUUUGGGCGAAAACCGGGGGUCUGUGCAGGGGAAGAUACU
rnacentral:rRNA from 1 species